rnacentral:lncRNA from 1 species
UUAGUGUCUCUGAUGCCCUCUUGUCUUUCUCCGCCCAGGAACCUUUCAAAACGUCACUCUCCGGGGCCGCUAUCACUGCAGAGGGGGGCGGGAGAUCAAUGUGAGCCAGCUGUGUGACUUCAACUCUGACUGUCCACAAGGGGACGAUGAGGGGGAACAUUGCCGUCAAUUCCUCAAUGGCAGCUAUUGCUCAUUUGGAAGAGAGGAUUGCGGCUGGCAGCUGGUUCCAGGAAGGGGCCCACAAUGGAGGGCCCAUCCGUCCAUUCCCCAAAGCCUCAGAAGCAGCUGUCCAUCCCCAGGGGCCUUGUUGGCCAUCGACAGUCAGCCCAAAGGUCAGCGAGGAUCAGCCCAGGUGCGAAGCCCACUUUUCUUCUACCCACUACGGAACGCCCCUUGCAUGGUCAAGUUCUGGGUGUGUGGAUCUUCAAAUGGAAUGCUAUCGCUCUGGAUUAUAGAGAACAGC